GACCAGCUUUCUGCAGAGAGCCUCGUCAGAAAGACUUGGACUUCCAGCAGGACAUCAUCUGGGAUGGCACAUCCCCGACGCCCCGCAGACCUAGAAAACGAGGGAAAAAACAAACCUCCAGAGUUGUGAACAUCUCAGAGAUCGUCAGCAGGAUCGCACCGAAGCAUGGCAGGCCGGAGGCUGCAGAACCGAGCCUGCAGCAGUG